rnacentral:rRNA from 1 species
AUUGAACGCUGGCGGCAGGCCUAACACAUGCAAGUCGAACGGUAACAGGAAGCAGCUUGCUGCUUCGCUGACGAGUGGCGGACGGGUGAGUAAUGUCUGGGAAGCUGCCUGAUGGAGGGGGAUAACUACUGGAAACGGUAGCUAAUACCGCAUAAUGUCGCAAGACCAAAGAGGGGGGCCUUCGGGCCUCUUGCCAUCGGAUGUGCCCAGAUGGGAUUAGCUUGUUGGUGGGGUAACGGCUCACCAAGGCGACGAUCCCUAGCUGGUCUGAGAGGAUGACCAGCCACACUGGAACUGAGACACGGUCCAGACUCCUACGGGAGGCAGCAGUGGGGAAUAUUGCACAAUGGGCGCAAGCCUGAUGCAGCCAUGCCGCGUGUAUGAAGAAGGCCUUCGGGUUGUAAAGUACUUUCAGCGGGGAGGAAGGGAGUAAAGUUAAUACCUUUGCUCAUUGACGUUACCCGCAGAAGAAGCACCGGCUAACUCCGUG